AGUGAACGCUGGCGGCAGGCCUAAUACAUGCAAGUCGAACGGCAGCACAGCAGAGCUUGUUCUGUGGGUGGCGAGUGGCGGACGGGUGAGGAAUACGUGGGAAUCUGCCCAGUCGUGGGGGAUAACGUAGGGAAACUUACGCUAAUACCGCAUGCGCCCUUCGGGGGAAAGCCGGGGACCUUCGGGCCUGGCGCGAUUGGAUGAGCCCACGUCGGAUUAGCUAGUUGGCGGGGUAAAGGCCCACCAAGGCGACGAUCCGUAGCUGGUCUGAGAGGAUGAUCAGCCACACUGGAACUGAGACACGGUCCAGACUCCUACGGGAGGCAGCAGUAGGGAAUAUUGGACAAUGGGCGCAAGCCUGAUCCAGCCAUGCCGCGUGAGUGAAGAAGGCCCUCGGGUUGUAAAGCUCUUUUGUCCGGAAAGAAAAGCGCCGGGUUAAUACCCUGGUGUCCUGACGGUACCGGAAGAAUAAGCACCGGCUAACUUCGUGCCAGCAGCCGCGGUAAU
rnacentral:rRNA from 1 species